AGCGAACGCUGGCGGCAGGCUUAACACAUGCAAGUCGAGCGGACCUUUCGGGGUCAGCGGCGGACGGGUGAGUAACGCGUGGGAACGUGCCUUCCGGUUCGGAAUAACCCUGGGAAACUAGGGCUAAUACCGGAUACGCCCUUAUGGGGAAAGGUUUACUGCCGGAAGAUCGGCCCGCGUCUGAUUAGCUUGUUGGUGGGGUAACGGCCUACCAAGGCGACGAUCAGUAGCUGGUCUGAGAGGAUGAUCAGCCACACUGGGACUGAGACACGGCCCAGACUCCUACGGGAGGCAGCAGUGGGGAAUAUUGGACAAUGGGCGCAAGCCUGAUCCAGCCAUGCCGCGUGAGUGAUGAAGGCCUUAGGGUUGUAAAGCUCUUUUAUCCGGGACGAUAAUGACGGUACCGGAGGAAUAAGCCCCGGCUAACUUCGUG
rnacentral:rRNA from 1 species